UUUUCUUGGCCAUUUAUUUAGUGUUUUGAAGGAGUUUAUGGAUUUUUCACUUUAUUUCUAUUUUUGAAUUCAUUUAAAAAAUACCUUUGAUGCAUUUUUAUUUUAUUUAAUUGCAUUUUUAUUUGUGUGACUUUGUGAACUUCUGUUGGUCUUGGAUCAUGAUGGUUUGGACUUCAAGUCUCGUCAAACUCAAUGGAUCUUGGGUGUUGAUGGGAUGAAAUCUCUAAUCCACCAAAAUAGAUGAUUGAUUUUUAUGAUGACUUGAUCAAACUUUUGAUCCAAUUUGG
rnacentral:lncRNA from 1 species